UACAGGGGGGUGCAAGCGUUAUCCGGAAUUAUUGGGCGUAAAGCGCGCGCAGGCGGUCCUUUAAGUCUGAUGUGAAAGCCCCCCGGCUCAACUGGGGAGGGUCACGCGAUACUGAUCGACUCGAAGGCAGGAGAGGGUAGUGGAAUUCCCGGUGUAGUGGUGAAAUGCGUAGAUAUCGGGAGGAACACCAGUGGCGAAGGCGACUACCUGGCCUGUUUCUUGACGCUGAGGCGCGAAAAGCUAGGGGAGCAAACGGGG
rnacentral:rRNA from 1 species